AACGAACGCUGGCGGCGUGCCUAACACAUGCAAGUCGUGCGAGAAAGUUCCUUCGGGAGCGAGUAAAGCGGCGCACGGGUGAGUAACACGUAGGUAACCUGCCCCCCAGUCUGGAACAACUAGAGGAAACUCUAGCUAAUGCCGGAUGAGACCACGAUCCCUUCGGGGGUUGCGGCCAAAGAUGGCCUCUACUUGUAAGCUAUCGCUGAGGGAUGGGCCUGCGGGCCAUUAGCUUGUUGGUGAGGUAACGGCUCACCAAGGCUGUGAUGGCUAGCUGGUCUGAGAGGAUGACCAGCCACACUGGGACUGAGACACGGCCCAGACUCCUACGGAGGCAGCAGUGGGAAUAUUGCGCAAUGGGCGAAAGCCUGACGCAGCGACGCCGCGUGGGUGGUGAAGGCCUU
rnacentral:rRNA from 1 species